UGGGGAAUAUUGCACAAUGGAGGGAACUCUGAUGCAGCGACGCCGCGUGAACGAAGAAGGCUUUCGAGUCGUAAAGUUCUUUUAUAUGGGAAGAUAAUGACGGUACCAUAAGAAAAAGCCCCGGCUAACUACGUGCCAGCAGCCGCGGUAAUACGUAGGGGGCUAGCGUUGUCCGGAAUCACUGGGCGUAAAGGGUUCGCAGGCGGAAAUGCAAGUCAGGUGUAAAAGGCAGUAGCUUAACUACUGUAAGCAUUUGAAACUGCAUAUCUUGAGAGGAGUAGAGGUAAGUGGAAUUUUUAGUGUAGCGGUGAAAUGCGUAGAUAUUAAAAAGAAUACCGGUGGCGAAGGCGGCUUACUGGGCUCAUUCUGACGCUGAGGAACGAAAGCGUGGGUAGCAAACAGG
rnacentral:rRNA from 1 species